GUCCUAGUAGCUUAAAACUAAAGCACUGGUCUUGUAAACCAAAAACUG
rnacentral:tRNA from 1 species